rnacentral:rRNA from 1 species
AUGCAGCAAGCGCUGGCCCGCUGCCAUACCCCGGCAGAGGUUGAGUUGCCGCCGGUGGCUGUAGGCGCCCUUGAUACAGCCGGUUGCGCAACCCCCUCACCAAGUUGCGUUGCAGCAAGCGUCGCCGGCGAGGACGCCCCAUUGCUCACAGUGACGACGGAUGCAACAGCGAUGCCGGUGUCGUCCUCUAUUACUGCAGCAACGGUGUUGUUGCCAAAGCGGGCUCCGCAACAGCGGCAGUGGUGGCAGCAGAUCCUUGCGGUGUGGUGGUCGGAGACAAGUGCAACGGAGGUGGUGGUGUGGUGUGGUGUGACGAGUGAUGAUGGAGAAAACUAA